AACGCACCUUGCACCCUUUGGUCUUCCAAAGGGUACACCCGUUUGAGUGUCAUUGUAAUCUCACUACCAUUGACUUUAUUGUCUUUUGGUAUGUGGACUUGGAUGUUGCAGUUAAUUUAACAGCUCGUCUGAAAUGCCUCAGUGUACCCCGCUUUGCGGCAUAUUCGGUGUGAUACAUCUUCACCGGAGUUGAUCCCUUGUGGGUCGCGUCUUGUAAUGUGUGGCUCUAUGCUUCCAACCGUCUCUGAUGAGACAAUCUUUUGACAAUUUGACCUCAAAUCGGGUGGGACUACCCGCUGAACUUAA
rnacentral:misc_RNA from 1 species